rnacentral:rRNA from 1 species
AACGAACGCUGGCGGCAUGCCUAACACAUGCAAGUCGAACGAGACCUUCGGGUCUAGUGGCGCACGGGUGCGUAACGCGUGGGAACCUGCCCUUAGGUUCGGAAUAACUCCCCGAAAGGGGUGCUAAUACCGGAUAAUGUCUUCGGACCAAAGAUUUAUCGCCUUUGGAUGGGCCCGCGUUGGAUUAGCUAGUUGGUAGGGUAAAAGCCUACCAAGGCGACGAUCCAUAGCUGGUCUGAGAGGAUGAUCAGCCACACUGGGACUGAGACACGGCCCAGACUCCUACGGGAGGCAGCAGUGGGGGAUAGUGGACAAUGGGCGAAAGCCUGAUCCAGCAAUGCCGCGUGAGUGAUGAAGGCCUUAGGGUUGUAAAGCUCUUUUACCCGGGAUGAUAAUGACAGUACCGGGAGAAUAAGCUCCGGCUAACUCCGUG